AGAGUUUGAUCCUGGCUCAGAGUGAACGCUGGCGGCAGGCCUAAUACAUGCAAGUCGAACGGCAGCACAGCAGAGCUUGCUCUGUGGGUGGCGAGUGGCGGACGGGUGAGGAAUACGUGGGAAUCUGCCCGGUCGUGGGGGAUAACGUAGGGAAACUUACGCUAAUACCGCAUGCGCCCUUCGGGGGAAAGCCGGGGACCUUCGGGCCUGGCGCGAUUGGAUGAGCCCACGUCGGAUUAGCUAGUUGGCGGGGUAAAGGCCCACCAAGGCGACGAUCCGUAGCUGGUCUGAGAGGAUGAUCAGCCACACUGGAACUGAGACACGGUCCAGACUCCUACGGGAGGCAGCAGUAGGGAAUAUUGGACAAUGGGCGCAAGCCUGAUCCAGCCAUGCCGCGUGAGUGAAGAAGGCCCUCGGGUUGUAAAGCUCUUUUGUCCGGAAAGAAAAGCGCCGGGUUAAUACCCUGGUGUCCUGACGGUACCGGAAGAAUAAGCACCGGCUAACUUCGUG
rnacentral:rRNA from 1 species